AGGAUAGCCCAGAGAGAUCUGGGGUAAUACUCCAUAGGCCCUCGUGCAUAAGUAUGAUGGUUAAAGAUGGCGAAUCCUUCGGGAUGCUGUCACCUCAGGAGGAACCUGCGUCCUAUCAGCUUGUUGGUGAGGUAACGGCUCACCAAGGCUAUGACGGGUAGCUGGAGUGAGAGCUUGGUCAGCCACACCGGGACUGAGACACUGCCCGGACUCCUACGGGAGGCUGCAGUCGAGAGUCUUUCUCAAUGGGCGAAAGCCUGAAGAUGCGACGCCGCGUGAAGGAUGAAGGUCUUCGGAUCGUAAACUUCUUUUGCAAAAGAAGAAAGCUCCGGUUCUAAUAAAGCCGGAGUGUGACGUUAUUUUGUGAAUAAGCCACGGCUAACUCCGUGCCAGCAGCCGCGGUAAUACGGAGGUGGCGAGCGUUACUCGGAAUGACUGGGUGUAAAGGGUCCGCAAGUGGUCUGCUAAGUGGGCGGUGAAAUACUUCUGCUCAACGGAAAAAUUGCCGUUCAAACUGGCAGACUAGAGGCCAAUAGAGGAGAGCGGAAUUGCCGGUGUAAGGGUGAAAUCUGUGGAUAUCGGCAGGAACGCCUGAUGCGAAAGCGGCUCUCUGGAUUGGUUCUGACACGCAUGGACGAAAGCUAGGGGAGCAAACAGGAUUAGAUACCCUGGUAGUCCUAGCCGUAAACUAUGGGCACUGGGUGUUCCUCUUUAUUGAGGGGUGCCGAAGCUAACGCGUUAAGUGCCUCACCUGGAGACUACGGCCGCAAGGCUAAAACUCAAAGGAAUUGACGGGGGCCCGCACAAGCGGUGGAACACGUGGUUUAAUUCGAUGCUACGCGAGGAACCUUACCAAGGCUUGACAUGCUGGACGUAGAUGCCUGAAAGGGCGUUCGAUCGGUAUCCAAUCCGAAACCAGCACAGGUGCUGCAUGGCUGUCGUCAGCUCGUGCCCGGGAGGUGUCCCGUUAAGUCGGGCAA
rnacentral:rRNA from 1 species